rnacentral:rRNA from 1 species
GAGUUUGAUCAUGGCUCAGGAUGAAUGCUGGCGGCGUGCCUAACACAUGCAAGUCGAGCGGCAGCGAGUUUUACACUGAAUUCUGGAAGCUUCUGAGUAGUAUAGAAGAUUUAUUCAAGAAUUUUGUGUAAAAUGUCGGCGAGCGGCGGACGGCUGAGUAACGCGUAGGAAUUUGCCCCAAAGUGAGGAAUAACUGCCCGAAAGGGUAGCUAAUGCCGCAUAUGGUCUUCGGAUUAAAGCCUUCGGGCGCUUUGGGAGAAGCCUGCGUUGGAUUAGGUAGUUGGUAGGGUAAUGGCCUACCAAGCCGACGAUCCAUAGCUGGUCUGAGAGGAUGAUCAGCCAGACUGGAACUGAGACACGGUCCAGACUCCUACGGGAGGCAGCAGUGAGGAAUCUUCCACAAUGGGCGAAAGCCUGAUGGAGCAACGCCGCGUGAAGGAUGAAGGCCUUCGGGUUGUAAACUUCUUUUAUGAGUGAAGAAUAUGACGGUAACUCAUGAAUAAGCACCGGCUAACUACGUGCCAGCAGCCGCGGUCAUACGUAGGGUGCAAGCAUUAUCCGGAGUGACUGGGCGUAAAGAGUUGCGUAGGCGGUUUAAUAAGUGAAUAGUGAAACCUGGUGGCUCAACCAUACAGACUAUUGUUCAAACUGUUAAACUCGAGAAUGGUAGAGGUAACUGGAAUUUCUAGUGUAGGAGUGAAAUCCGUAGAUAUUAGAAGGAACACCGAUGGCGUAGGCAGGUUACUGGGCCAUUUCUGACGCUAAGACACGAAAGCGUGGGGAGCGAACCGGAAUAGAUACCCGGGUAGUCCACGCCGUAAACGAUGGAUACUAGCUGUUGGAGGUAUCGACCCCUUCAGUAGCGAAGCUAACGCGUUAAGUAUCCCGCCUGUGGAGUACGGCCGCAGGGCUAAAACAUAAAGGAAUUGACGGGGACCCGCACAAGCGGGUGGAUAUGUUUCUUUAUUCGAUGAUAACGAGAGAACCUUACCAGGCUUGACUUCUAGGGAAGGCUGCCAAGGUAAACUGUGCUUUUUGGACCCUGUGACAGGGGAUGCUUGGCCGUCUUCCCCUCUGGUC